rnacentral:lncRNA from 1 species
ACCCAGUCCAGGCUAUUCGAGCAAGAAGAGAAAAGUUGAGGACUGCACCCACCAGGUCUACUUUCACCCCCCGGGACCUGCCCAUCCAUGUACCGGAACACACGUACGACUUUGAGGAGCAUGAUGUCAGAGAACGCGUUGAUGUGUUUGCAGAGCUUAGAGCUUGGAGGGAGCAGCACAGCAGCCGUCUCCAGGCCAUAGAGACAGAAAGAUUACCACAGGUCCUGGCUAUCCAGCAUAGUGAUGAAGGGGAAGAUGACGAUGAAGAAGAAGUCUUUGGUGGUGUAAGGAAUGACAGCAGUGAUGAAGAACACAGAGCGGAGAAGCAUGGUGAAAGCCUUGACUCCCCAGAUUCCUCUUUCCAGUCUGUUUCCCCAGACCUGCAUCACGGAGAAGCCUUAUCCCCUGAGGUGUCUCGACUCUCCCUGUCCCCAGACACCAGACUGUGCCCUUCUCCCCCUCUCAGUGCCACACUAACAGCUAAUCGCAAGCCACCAGGGAUCCGCGCACGUAGGCUUCGACACAGCCAGACCAACUCCGAACAUUCACCUGAUCUCAGCAGAGUAGGACGCUCCCCUGGGACAGGUACAACCGCAGGAGACACGGACCUGACACUCCAGAGGGUCCAGCAGUGGACCAGGACUGAUGUGCCUCUGUUACCCCUGCCUGCACACAUACCCCACCCCCCUCCAACAAGUGCCCUGGGUAAAGAGCUCAUGGUUUCAAGUACAGAGAUGGACUUAUCCAGUAUACAGUCUGGCAGCAAGCAUCUUCUAACGCCUCAGAUGUCCAAAGUCCUGGACAGACCAGCAAUUACUCGUCCUCACACAGCCAGAGCAGCUCUACAGAAACAUCACCAGCACCACAUACACCAACCCUGCAGAGGGAGCUCACAGCCAGACUGACCACAGAAUGGGCAGAUGUUUGGAUGCCUGGUCAGUGAUCAGUAUGAUUAGUGUGACUGUUCUAUACCCUUAAGAACAAAGCGGUAGCAUGGAAGCCAUUACGGGGCAUUAUCUUGCUCACUCACUCCAUGCUUUGAGGUGUGUUGGAAUUACCUGUAUUUUUGCCAUAUGAUGUUCGCUCUCUCCUUUUAAAAAAAGAAGAGGAAAAGAACAAAAAGAAAAAGACCCGGAAUAUAUUGAAAGCAUUCCCAGAUGAGUUGGGACUCACACCAACAACAACAUUCAGUGAACUCAUGAGUAAUUGAGUAAUUAAAACGAGUGUAUGAGUGUUAACAACCGUGUAUCUUGGAGCACUGAGAUUAUCCUUCUAAUGCUACUGAAUUGCUGGUUUUCUGAUGGCUGUGUUGGAUGAAUAAUAAAAGGGAAUGUAACUAAAACCUCACUUUUGCAUUUCUCAGGUUGAAACUUUGAAUUGUUCUAACUCAAAUGCUACCUUGUGUUUUACCCAAUUAAAACAAAA